CGGGGCGUAGCGCAGCCUGGUAGCGCACUUGCAUGGGGUGCAAGGGGUCGCAGGUUCAAAUCCUGCCGUCCCGACCA
rnacentral:tRNA from 8 species